UUGGAGGAAAGCAGGGGAUCGCAAGACCUUGCGCUUUUGGAGCGGCCGAUGUCUGAUUAGCUAGUUGGUGAGGUAAAGGCUCUACCAAGGCGUACGAUCAGUAGCUGGUCUGAGAGGACGACCAGCCACACUGGGACUGAGACACGGCCCAGACUCCUACGGGAGGCAGCAGUGGGGAAUUUUGGACAAUGGGGGAAACCCUGAUCCAGCCAUGCCGCGUGAGUGAAGAAGGCCUUCGGGUUGUAAAGCUCUUUCAGCCGGAACGAAACGGUCACGGCUAAUACCUGUGAYUACUGACGGUACCGGAAGAAGAAGCACCGGCUAACUACGUGCCAGCAGCCGCGGUAAUACGUAGGGUGCGAGCGUUAAUCGGAAUUACUGGGCGUAAAGCGUGCGCAGGCGGUUUUGUAAGUCAGAUGUGAAAUCCCCGGGCUUAACCUGGGAACUGCGUUUGAAACUACAAAGCUAGA
rnacentral:rRNA from 1 species